rnacentral:rRNA from 1 species
GACGAACCGUGCGAACGUUAUUCGGAAUCACUGGGCUUAAAGGGCGCGUAGGCGGCCUGCCAAGUCCGGGGUGAAAGCCCCCAGCUCAACUGGGGAAGUGCCUCGGAUACUGGCGGACUCGAGGGAGGUAGGGGUCGUGGGAACUUCCGGUGGAGCGGUGAAAUGCGUUGAUAUCGGAAGGAACGCCGGUGGCGAAAGCGCACGACUGGACCUCUUCUGACGCUGAGGCGCGAAAGCCAGGGGAGCAAACGGG